CAUUAUCGAAUAUAAACUUGGGUAGAUUGUUGCUGGCUUUUCUUUGAGGAGCAUGUGCACGUUUAUCCUCUUUGUUUUUCCACCUGUGCACCUUUUGUAGGCUUGGAUUAUAGUGGUUCUUCAUAAGAAUUUUUUGGGACUGCUGUGUUUAAACGCAUGUUUAUCGGCUUUCCCUUUUAUUUUCCAAGUCUAUGUUUUUCAUAUACACUCGAGAAAUAUAAUAUAAUAGAAUGCUGUACUUUUAGGUCAUUCGUACCUAUAAUAAAAUCAGUACAACUUUCAGCAACGGAUCUCUUGGCUCUCGCAUCGAUGAAGAACGCAGCGAAAUGCGAUAAGUAAUGUGAAUUGCAGAAUUCAGUGAAUCAUCGAAUCUUUGAACGCAUCUUGCGCUCCUUGGUAUUCCAAGGAGCAUGCCUGUUUGAGUAUCAUUAAAUUAUCAACUGUGCCAAAAUUGGUUUACAGAUUGGAUGUGGGGGAAUUUUGCAGGCUUUUGAUUUCUCUUGAAAGUCUGCUCCCCUGAAAUGUAUUAGCAGUGCCUUUGUUGGUUCCUUAGGUGUGAUAAUUUAUCUACAUCUUUACAUGGUACCUUCAUUUGUAAGGUCGUAUUGCUUCUAAUUGUCUAUGGACAAAAUGACAAACUUG
rnacentral:rRNA from 1 species